AUGAAUAGAGAAUCCCUCUUCUCUCCCAAACACGGCAACCUCUCCAUCCUCAUACGCUUCUCCUCCGGUGAUCUCCAGUCCCUAUCGCUUCAAGUUUCUUCUUCAAACGCGUUCCCUCAAAUAUAUAGUGGCGACUUCGUCUUCUCUUCCCCAAUUUCGAAUCAAAUCCUCGACGUCGUCCAUGGAGUCUCUCCUAUAAAGGACUUUGGCAUGAAGGCACAUGGAAUUUGGCACGAAGGAAACAUGGAAUCAAGUACAACAUGA